AGUAACAAGCUGCUGACCCCUCCCUUCCCUGGCUGGAGAGGGCGGAAGCGCCGCGCGGGCAGGCUGGGAGAUGUAGUCCUGACUCUCCCGGAGCGGAAGUGACGUCGGCGGGGAGGACGUUGGGCGCUGCGGCUCUGCCUGGCUCGCGCGGGGCCGUUGGAGCUCUCCCGGGGCCGGAGAAGGAUAUUGGGGUUGAAUUUCCUGGUUCAGACGCUGCUGCCUGCAUUGUGAUCUGGGAGCCCAGACUGAGCAGCUGCUGCUCCCCCAGUGGGGUCUGGGCUCGGGAGUGACUUGGAGUGAAGCUUCCUCUGUGCCCAGGCAAGGGAACCAGUUGCUAAGAUUUUAGCAGCUCAUCACUGCCGUCAGCCCCAGCCCUUCCGGGGGCCAGAGCUGGCCACAGCAUACAGCCUGUGUUUGGGUCACACCCUGAUGUCACGGCUGUGUGGAGUGCAUUCGGAAUGAGGCAACCCAGAGCUGCUGGGCAACCUGUCACAUAGUUCCUCUUGCUGUAUUGCAAGGUUUAUUUGCAUUUUGACUGAAUGUGGUGACAUUUAUCAAUAUGAGUAAGAGAUCAAGAGACAUUUGUAGAAAGUACUCAAGUGGGAGUAAGAAAAGAGCCAUAUACAAGGCAAAAGCAGUUGAAAGACAGAAGCAAAAGGGUGCUUUAAGCAAGUGUUUUAGCAGACCUGAUUCUACUGUUGAACUGGAAGAGCUCAGUGAAGAUGCAGAUAUGGUUGAAAAUUAUCCAGUAGAACAUACAACACAGACAGAGAAUGACAGCAAUGAUGAAGAAUUUGAAGAGCCAAAUCUGUCUGAAGAAGACACUCAAGACAGUCACGGAGAAGAGAGGACUACAAAAAGGGUUGUAACUGAUGCUGAAGGUACUGAGGGUCAAGAAUGCUUUUCUGAUAAUAAAGAUGGAAGUGGUUUUGCUCCAGAGCAAAAAGGCAACUUCAACUCUGCUGACCAAAUAGAAAUAUCUGAAGAUCUUGGCCAGAAUACAUUAGCCAGUGUAUCAGGGAGUAUUUAGUAAAACAAGGGCCACCUAAAAUUAUUGUAGAAGAUUUCCCUAAAAAUAAGAUUGGGAAACACUUCUCAAAGUUUCACUGCAAAAGGAAACUUUCAAAUGGUGAAAUUGUACCUCGUCCGUGCCCCAUGCUACAGUGUGAGCGGACAAGAUCUUUUGUUAUUACUGUAAGAUUUUUUUGCAAUAAU